rnacentral:rRNA from 1 species
CCCGCUGAGUUUAAGC